rnacentral:lncRNA from 1 species
CCGAAAUAUGCCCACACAUAGUUCCUUCACUUUCGGUGUUUCUUGAGUUUCGCCGAGUUCCUUUACUUCCAGCGGCGAUUUCCUUCGCUUCCAGUGGCGUGUGUGAGCUAUUUUGCUUCCAACAAGAUUAUUUAGAUACAGUUUCCGUGGCUUAGGUACUUUCUUGAUUUUUUUCAUGAAUUUAGAAUAAAUUUUUGUUAAAAUUGCCUGCUUGGUUCAUCAUUAAUCAUAGUUAAUCACUAAGAUGUGUAUUGUGUAUGAAAAUAUAAGAGUUUUUUUAAGAUUAAGAUAUCUAAUAAAUGACACACCAAGUGUUUGUUUAAAUGUCUCUAAGAAAUUAUUGAUCUAAACUUACAAUUAUUUUGAGGUUAAAGAGAAGAUUGGUGUGUUGGUCAAUCAAGAACGUGAAUGGUUGCUCGUGUUGCCUAAACUUUGGUCAUGUUAAGCUUAGGCAAGGCGGGCGGCUUCUCCCCAUCACCCAACCAAAUGGCCAUGCAUGGUGUGGGAGACUGAGCAACGCGGGCGACACGCUUGCGUUGCCCAGCCAUGUAAAUAGGUGACAGCAUGAUUUGGUUGGGCGAUAUGUGUUGUUGCCCAUGUACCUGCGUCACCUGCUUUUUGGGCAACAGUAAUUGAAUCUGGGCAACAAAAUCAUGUCGCCCAUGUAUCGGGUGACGUAGGUACAUGGGCGACAACAACUGAAUUUGGGCGAUAGCAUGCUGUCGCCUGAGUUUUCUGAUUGUUUCAAAUUUAUUUUUUUCUUUAAAAAUUUAUGUUAAUGCUAUCCUAAUUUAUUGUUUAGAUAUGUCUGACAAGCAAAUGCAUCCCUGGUCACUGAAGAUACCAAUCAAUGAUCAUUUCCUAUGUUGUGUGUCAAAUUUAACGAGAUUUACUUUUGUCACUAUGCAUAUACAGACUAAGUUAACUAAUACUCAAUUUGGGCUAUUCAAAAAGUCAAUUUUUGGUCAUUUUCUGGCCAUGGGGGAUCCUGGAUUUAGCGGCAAUCUUGUACACUAUUUGUUGCUUAGACUAGUCGUAAAACCUAACUUUAGCUAUUGUGGAGAUUUGCUUAGGAAGAAGAUUGCUAUGGAUAUCUUUAUGUAUGAGAUUUUGUAAAAAGACACAUUAUUAAACACAUACUAUUAAGUUGUCUUAUUUUAUAUUCUUAUUGUCAAUUGAUAUUUUCAG